UACGGAGGGUGCAAGCGUUAUCCGGAUUCACUGGGUUUAAAGGGUGCGUAGGCGGCGCGGUAAGUCGGGUGUGAAAUCUCGGGGCUUAACUCCGAAACUGCAUUCGAUACUGCCGUGCUUGAGGACUGGAGAGGAGACUGGAAUUUACGGUGUAGCGGUGAAAUGCGUAGAUAUCGUAAGGAAGACCAGUGGCGAAGGCGGGUCUCUGGACAGUUCCUGACGCUGAGGCACGAAGGCCAGGGGGAGCAAACGGG
rnacentral:rRNA from 1 species